UAGUCUCGCACAGAUGCAUAUCAAUAAGCGGAGGAAAAGAAACUAACAAGGAUUCCCUUAGUAACGGCGAGUGAAGCGGGAAGAGCUCAAAUUUGAAAUCUUCAAGGUUUUACCUUGACGAAUUGUAGUUUAAAGAAGUGUUUUCUGUUGAAGUUUUGGUAAAAGUUCUUUGGAAUAGGACAUCAUAGAGGGUGAGAAUCCCGUAUUUGACCAUUACUUUCAGCUGUGUGAUACACUUUCAAAGAGUCGGAUUGUUUGGGAAUGCAGUCCAAAAUGGGUGGUAAAUUUCAUCUAAAGCUAAAUAUUGGCGAGAGACCGAUAGCGAACAAGUACCGUGAGGGAAAGAUGAAAAGAACUUUGAAAAGAGAGUUAAACAGUACGUGAAAUUGUCAAAAGGGAAGCGUUUGACACCAGUGUUGUUUUCUCGAAAAUCAAUUAAAAAGAGUUAGAUUUUGUUGUGUAUUGACCUUAACAGCUUGCAUUUCAAUUUUCUUGCUUUUUUUAAUGCACUUUUCGUUUAACAAGUCAACAUCAGUUUCUUUUGUUGUAAAAAGGUCAUUGGAAGGUGGCUUUCUUUUCGGAGAAAGUGUUUAUAGCCUUUGACUCCUGCAAUCGGAGAGACUGAGGUCUGCAGCGUAGAUCCUUCGGGGUUAGAUACAUUUGUGCUAAGUUAUAGCUUUUUAUAGACAACUUGUUGACUAUGAUUAGUCUUGUAGCUUACUCGCUUAUGCUAUUUUACCUACGCUUAGGAUGUUGAGCGCAUGUCUCUCUCU
rnacentral:rRNA from 1 species